CUCUCCUGCUGGGUGCUAUAAGGAUAUGAAGAUUCGCCAAUCUGUAGCCAUUCCAGUGACCCUGCUGGGAUGGGUGUGGCUGAGUGGUUCUGAACUCGCCUUUCCUUGAUAAAGCCAUCCACCAGCCCUAACAUUUGCUCAUCAACUUCCUUCCUCCCCAGUGUAAUUAUUAGCACUUUUAUGUAACUGAACCCAGCUUCGGCUGCUCACCACUUGAAAGCUGGACUCAAGAGACAAGGGUUGGCGGGAGGAAAAGCAGAUUUAUCUGGAGAGCCAGCAAAUAAAGGAGAUGGCGAUGAUGAAUAUGAAUUCAAGUUGGACAACUAGCAAGUUUAGAACUUAGACUGGGACCUAGAUCUUCCAAUUCCUACAGCUAGCCUCCCUUUCCAUUUUCUCUGUGGUCAUCAUUAAUGCAGUUUUUGACCCUUUUGUCCAGAAGCUGCCAAACAGACAACAGAAGCCAGGACUGGCCCUGCCUUAGAUGGCUUUCAGUGCAGGAAAGUAUCAAGACAGGCUUCUUCGUAGCGUACAAAUCUCUCCACCUUUUCUGCUAAGCACCUCAUGCAUGCAGCUGCCAAUCUAACACCUCCAUUUGCAUGUUUAAUCACCAUCUCAGGCUAAUGUGACCAAGCAGACUUCUUGGCCUUCAUCCCUGCCUCCUCUAGUCUUCUCAUCUCUCCGUCUCUUUUUGAGACAGAGUUUGGCUCCGUCGCCCAGGCUGGAGUGCAGGGGCGCCAUUUUGGCUCACAGCAACCUCUGCCUCCUGGGCUCAAGCCAUCCUCCCAACGCAGCCUCCGGAGUAGCUGGGUCUUCCCAUCUCUUUAAAAAACGAUUCAUUCAAUUGUUCAGAACAAAACCCUAGAGUCAUAUUUAAUUCCUCCCUUCCUCUUGCACUUCUAAGCCAAUCAUUCAGCUCUACUUUGAAAAUGUUUCUUUACUCAUCCACUGCACCAAGCCACCAUCACCUCGAGGCAGGAAUAUUCAAUGGCCUCAUAAGUGGUCUCCCUCUUUAUGUUAUAUUCAAUGCAUGUCUUUUCUUACUCAAAAUUCUAGAAAGACCUCUCUUCACCAUCCAUGAUUGUUUCCCGCCUUCCUCGCUGUGAUCCCAUCGUUGACCACUCAAGACUAUGUUCCAGCCUACUUUCUGCUCCUUGAACAACACCCUUAGUGUGAUUCCCACUUUUGUGACUUCGCAUGAGUCCCCUGUCUGCCUGGACACUCUGCCCCCAACCUUGAAGUGCUGACCCUUCCCUGCCACUCAGUUGAAAGUCAAAUUCCAUUUCCUUGUGAGGGCUUCCCUGAAUACCCACUUUUAAUUAACUCUCUGCCUCCUCCCGUCACUUCUGUUUUACCCCCUCUUUCAGUUCCUUCCCAUCUUAGUUUCACAAGAGCCAGGGCUGUUUCUGACUUCUUUCCCUGUCAGACCUCCUCAGAUAGGACAGGUCCUCUGCCUCACCGACUUCAAUCAGUAUUUGCUAAGUAAACAGAGCACAAGAGGAUCAUGUUGUCACCAAAGAGCAGCUCCGCCUCCAAUGGCACAAGGAUUGUUGGAACCUCAUCCUUCCUUCAAGUUCUAGUUCAAAAAAUUCCAUGCUAUCCCUCAAACGGCCUUGCCCAAGUGCCUGUUUUAUUUGCCUGUGUUGUCUGUUAUUUCUUCCCCACUGUCCUCAUUUGCCAUGUGGCUUGGUGGUGGCUGGAGACCUCCAUGCUGGCCCCUGGGAGCAGCUGCUAAGACUUGGUGCCUCAGGACACCUUGGCACCUGUGGACAUCAACCACCAGGCUUCUCCUCUGUUCAUGUCUCUGCAAGAAUGAGAACCUGCCCCCAUACCAUGUGUGUUGUGUAGGCCUCAGGAGGCAUGGACUCACACACCCAGCUUCCUGCAAGCCCUCUGGUGCAUCGCAGUGUUCACCCCCAGCUGUCUAUUACAGCCACCACCCAGGGCCUCUGGUGCAGGCUCCUUAGAGAGAGGCCAGGAAACUGCUGAAGUGAUACGUGCCAGCAAGUCUCAGGGGAAGAGAAGACCUUCUCUCCUUAGUAAAGAACCCGUGGAGGUCAGGAAGACACUCCAGACUCAAAGCCGAAUUUGAAAGUUAAGCUGACAGCCCAACUAGGGCAGAUUGGAGGAGCCAGGUGAAAGAGGAUGUGGGGCAUUCAGGAAAGAGGUGGAAGGAGAAGCCUGGAAGGGCGGCCCCGCUCCUGGAGCAUGACGAGCAGCGCUUCAUCAGGACCUCGACCUUCACCCACUGGCAGGAGCGUGUUCCUCACAUGACUUGUAGGAUCACCAGGGAAACACACAAAUGGAAGAAUUAAAAAAUACCUGCUAGGAGCCCCCGCGCUCCCCACAACUCAUCACAGAGCAAACUUCUUGGCUACUUCUUUUCUUGGGCUGUCUUUUCAUUUGGCCUGUUUGCCUGCCUGGACUUUGGGGUCUUUGUUCCCAGCAUCCAAACUUCCUACCAGCGACUUUCCAUCAUGAGCUCCCUUCCAGUCUUCUGGAAAUUGUCAGAUGUGCCUGGAUUUGUAGAGCCUUCACGAGAUAUGUUGUCAAUCUGGAAUUUUUGCAGUUCACACUCCAGUGUGCAACAGCAACCAAAUGGAGAUGGAGGACAUGAAGACAAGCUACCGGAGAUGCUGAUGAAACCUGUAUGAGAACGGCAAUGCUAUCUGUGUCCUGCCCGUGGAAUUGACCAGAUACUGCGGCUUCCUUUUGCUUCCCAAGGCCCGGAUUGACCUGAAAAUUGAUAUGCUUUGCUCUAUACUUCAUCUCCCAUUGACCAUGGGGUGAAAGCACCCUUUCUCAGUCAGCCUCACUGCUUCCCCACAGAUGGAGGGAUUUCCUGCAGGACCAUGGGCCCUGGGCCUUCCUUUCCUACCGUCUCUUUAAAGCCUCCUCCAGAUGUGCUGCCUGGCUCAGCUCUUUGGGUGACUUUCGUUCUGUCUCAAGUGACUCCUUCAGAUUCACACAGGGCUGUGUCCCGGGCUGGGCUGGAGUUGACAUUCAGGGAGGAGACCACUGUUCUGGAACAGAGCAGCGAUUGGUUUAAUUGAAAUCUGAUAGAUCAUCAUGUGAAAAGCUGGCAUGUAAGCAUGCUCCCCGAAGCCUGCAGGGCCCUGCGCGGCCUCUUGCCUGGUCAUCACAUACAAGCGGUCCUCUUGCAUGGUUGGGGGCCUCACCUGCACCACGGGCCCCCAAGCCAAACAAUGGGAUUGUACGGAGACCGUCCUGGGCAGGUCCCCACGUCAGGUCUUGCAGUUUGCAGCAGGUAGCCCUGGGCUAUCCUGCCAUCCAAGAGCUGCCUUCUCAGCACAAUGGAGUUCUACGGCUGCCUCGGCUGCAGAGGCCAGAUCCGGAGCCUCGCUGAGCACCUCCAUGGAUGCAUUUCGCAAAGGGCCAAGCAAGAGGCAUUAACGUGGCCUGACAGCAAGUGGGAUUAAACCAGGAUUAAAUGAUCAGCCCUAAACCAAUGCAGACCAGUAAUAGGUCUCAUGAUAAAAGCAGCCAAAUACUAA